AGCGCACCUUCGGGUGAGCGGCGGACGGGUUAGUAACGCGUGGGAACAUACCCUUUGGUACGGAAUAGCCUCUGGAAACGGAGAGUAAUACCGUAUGAGCCCUUCGGGGGAAAGAUUUAUCGCCAAAGGAUUGGCCCGCGUUAGAUUAGGUAGUUGGUGGGGUAAUGGCCUACCAAGCCUACGAUCUAUAGCUGGUUUUAGAGGAUGAUCAGCAACACUGGGACUGAGACACGGCCCAGACUCCUACGGGAGGCAGCAGUGGGGAAUCUUGGACAAUGGGGGCAACCCUGAUCCAGCCAUGCCGCGUGAGUGAUGAAGGCCUUAGGGUCGUAAAGCUCUUUCGCCUGUGAAGAUAAUGACGGUAGCAGGUAAAGAAACCCCGGCUAACUCCGUGCCAGCAGCCGCGGUAAUACGGAGGGGGUUAGCGUUGUUCGGAAUUACUGGGCGUAAAGCGCACGUAGGCGGACUGGAAAGUUGGGGGUGAAAUCCCAGGGCUCAACCCUGGAACUGCCUCCAAAACUAUCAGUCUAGAGUUCGAGAGAGGUGAGUGGAAUUCCGAGUGUAGAGGUGAAAUUCGUAGAUAUUCGGAGGAACACCAGUGGCGAAGGCGGCUCACUGGCUCGAUACUGACGCUGAGGUGCGAAAGUGUGGGGAGCAAACAGGAUUAGAUACCCUGGUAGUCCACACCGUAAACGAUGAAUGCCAGUCGUCGGGUAGCAUGCUAUUCGGUGACACACCUAACGGAUUAAGCAUUCCGCCUGGGGAGUACGGUCCGCAAGAUUAAACUCAAAGGAAUUGACGGG
rnacentral:rRNA from 1 species